rnacentral:rRNA from 1 species
UACGAGGGGGCGAGCGUUGUUCGGAAUUAUUGGGUACGGUAAGGGUGCGUGAGUCGGUUUGGUAAGUCUGCGAUUGUGAAUUACUACAGGCUCAACUUGUACGUUCUGCACGGAGAAACCUGCCGGGCUUGAGUAUUGGGAGAGGGUGGAAGUGGAAUUCCUGGUGUAGCGGUGAAAUGCGUAGAUAUCAGGAGAACACCUGUGGCGAAAGCGGACGUCACUGGACCAAUAACUGACGCUGAUGCACGAAAGCUAAGGGGAGCGAAACAG